rnacentral:rRNA from 1 species
UUACUUUCUUUAUUUUAAAAAUAAAAUUUAAUUUUUGAAUUAAAAAGUUUAAGUGUUUGUAUAGGACGAGAAGACCCUAUAGAACUUUAUUUUUCCUGGAUUAAUUAUUCACUUGUGAAUAAUUUUUAUUUAUUUUAGGAAAAAUUUUGUUGGGGUGACAAAAAAAAUUAAAUAACUUUUUUUAUAUUUAUCAUUUAUAUAUGAUUUUUUGAUCCUUUAUUAUGGAUAAAAGAUUAAGUUACCUUAGGGAUAACAGCGUUAUUAUUUUAGAGAGUUCAUAUUGAURAAMUAGUUUGCSAC